UGCGGUAAUUUGACCGUGCAAAGGUAGCAUAAUAAGUAGUCUUUUAAUUGAAGGCUUGUAUGAACGGUUGGAUGAGGGAAAAGCUGUCUCUCUUACAGUUUAAAAUUUGACUUUUAAGUGAAAAGGCUUAAAUAGUAUAGUGGGACGAUAAGACCCUAUAAAACUUUAUAUGUGGCCUGCUUUUUCUUAAAAUUUCAGAUAAACUUUGAAAAGCAGUUCUCGUAUUUUGUUGGGGAGACAUUGAUAUAAAUCGUAACUGUCUGAAUAAAAUAUAUAGUAAUCACUAUAAUUUGAUCCUCCUAUGCGGCUAAAAAGAACAAGUUACUUUAGGGAUAACAGCGUAAUUUUUUCUGAGAGUUCUUAUCGAAGAAAGUAGUUGCGACCUCGAUGUUGAAUUAA
rnacentral:rRNA from 1 species